rnacentral:rRNA from 1 species
CAGACGAUGCGUCAUGCAUAUCAAUAAGCGGAGGAAAAGAAACUAACAAGGAUUCCCCUAGUAACGGCGAGUGAAGCGGGAAGAGCUCAAAUUUGAAAUCUUAAAGGGUUUCCCUUUACGAAUUGUAGUUUAAAGAAGUGUUUUCUGUUGAGGUUUUGGUAAAAGUUCUUUGGAAUAGGACAUCAUAGAGGGUGAGAAUCCCGUAUUUGACCUUUACUUUCAACUUUGUGAUACACUUUCAAAGAGUCGGAUUGUUUGGGAAUGCAGUCCAAAAUGGGUGGUAAAUUUCAUCUAAAGGCUAAAUAUUGGCGAGAGACCGAUAGCGAACAAGUACCGUGAGGGAAAGAUGAAAAGAACUUUGAAAAGAGAGUUAAACAGUACGUGAAAUUGUCAAAAGGGAAGCGUUUGACACCAGUGUUGUUUUUCUGAAAAUCAAUUAAAGAACUGUUUAUGCUAAGUUGUUUAGACUUUAUCAGCUAACUGUUUAGUUUUGAGCUUUUCUUUAAUGCACUUUUCAGUUAAUAAGUCAACAUCAAUUUCUUUUGCUGUAAAAAAGCUUGAGGAAGGUGGCUUGAGAUUCGUCUUAAGUGUUUAUAGCCUCUUGCCUAUGCAGUCGGAGAGAUUGAGGUCUGCAGCGUAGAUCCUUCGGGGCUAAAUGCAUUUGUGCUAAGUUAUAGCAUUUUAUAGACAACUUGUUGACUAUGAUUUGUCUUGUAGCUUACUCGCUUAUGUUAUUUUACCUACGCUUAGGAUGUUGAGCGCAUGUCUCUCUCU